CUGAUCGGGACAUACAUAUCACCACGAGCUCCAUAGUGAGGACUAUCUUGUUCGGACAUAGAGGGCAUGGGCAUUCCAUCCUGAGCCUGUCUCGGAUUUCUUUUCCCAUAGGCCUCCUAAGCCAGAAGUGGGCAAGGUGUGCCCGGUGCUCCGGUUAACCCCAUUCGGAUGACCCUGGUUGUCGGAUGGUGCGUGAGUCAAAACAGGAG